rnacentral:rRNA from 1 species
AGACGUAGGGGGCAAGCGUUGUCCGGAUUCAUUGGGCGUAAAGAGCUCGUAGGCGGUUACGCAAGUCGGCUGUGAAAGCUCGGGGCUCAACCCCGAGACGCCAGUCGAAACUGUGUUGACUUGAGUCCGGUAGGGGAGCGUGGAAUUCCUGGUGUAGCGGUGAAAUGCGCAGAUAUCAGGAAGAACACCGGUGGCGAAGGCGGCGCUCUGGGCCGGUACUGACGCUGAGGAGCGAAAGCUAGGGGAGCGAACAGGAUUAGAAACCCCAGUAGUCC